rnacentral:rRNA from 1 species
CCUACGGGUGGCAGCAGUUGGGAAUAUUGCGCAAUGGGCGAAAGCCUGACGCAGCGACGCCGCGUGAGGGAUGAAGGUCUUCGGAUCGUAAACCUCUGUCAGCAGGGAAGAACGGUCACUGUGCUAAUCAGCAGUGAAUUGACGGUACCUGCAAAGGAAGCACCGGCUAACUCCGUGCCAGCAGCCGCGGUAAUACGGAGGGUGCGAGCGUUAAUCGGAAUUACUGGGCGUAAAGCGCUCGUAGGCGGUAUGUCAAGUCAAGGGUGAAAUCCCCGCGCUCAACGUGGGAACUGCAUUUGAAACUGGCAAACUGGAGUGUGUGAGAGGAUAGUGGAAUUCCAGGUGUAGGAGUGAAAUGCGUAGAUAUCUGGAGGAACAUCAGUGGCGAAGGCGACUAUCUGGCACAUAACUGACGCUGAGGAGCGAAAGCGUGGGUAGCAAACAGGAUUAGAUACCCCAGUAGUC